rnacentral:rRNA from 1 species
UACAGAGGUCUCAAGCGUUUGUUCGGAUUCAUUGGGCGUAAAGGGUGCGUAGGCGGCGCGGUAAGUCGGGUGUGAAAUCUCGGAGCUUAACUCCGAAACUGCAUUCGAUACUGCCGUGCUUGAGGACUGGAGAGGAGACUGGAAUUUACGGUGUAGCGGUGAAAUUCGUAGAUAAUUCGGAAGAACACCAAUGGCGAAGGCAGCAGCUCUGGGACGUGAGCUGACGCUGAAG